AGACCCCCGUCACUGGUCACCGCCGCCUUCCUGGUGCAGCUGCUGUGUCACGGCCACACCGGCCGGCUGUACAGCAGGCAGGAGCCGGUGACCAUUCUGGAGGCGGAUGGGGUUAAGGGCCUGCUUGGGAACUGGUCGGCCGCCUGGGUGGUGGAGUUCUACUGGUCGUGGGGCGGCCCCUGUGUCAACUAUGGGGCCACCUGGAAGGUACUGGGCCCGGGAGGUGAAAGGAUCUGAAGAUGGAAGUUUCAAAAUCAACAGAUGAAGGCCUAAUGCCCAAAACGUUGACUCUCCUGCUUCUUGGAUGCUGCCUGACCUGCUGUGCUUUUCCAGCGCCGCACUUUCUGACUCUGACUCUCCAGCGUCUGCAGUCCUUACUUUGACGUCCAUGUCUGACAGUCAUUCAAUCCAAUCCAUCGGGACCGCAACAGUUUGCAACUAUGAUUCUGUGAGGAGCAAAGCUGUUUGGGUACGUUUUCAGCAUCAGUGGGACUGGAUGAGAGAUCCUACCGUUACAGUGCACUGAGUGAGGAGCGUGCAACAGCUCUACGGUUUGGAAAGAGGAAUUCACGGUGGAGAGAAGCUCCACAUGCGUUUGUGCGGCUGAAGCUUCGGCCAUGGAGAAACCCGAGGAAUCCCGCCCCGUGGAGAAACCAUGGAAGUGUGGCAACUGUGGGAAAGGCUUGUUUCCCGUCUGCCCUGGAGACUCAUUGGCGCAGUCACACUGGGGAGAGGCCGUUCCCCUGCCCUGACUGCAGGAAUGACUUAAGCGAUUCCUCCAACCUCCAGACCCACCAGUGGAUCCACAUGGGGGAGAGGCCCUUAAGCUGCCCCGAGUGCGGGAAGGCCUUUACCCAGGCCGCCUCCUUGCUGACCUACCAGCGGGAUCACGUGGCAUUGCAGGAGGAUUGAAAGAAGGACGGCCGAGUGCCUUUACCAACUGGACUAUCAACCCAGUUCCAGUGGCUCCUGAGUUCGAUUCCCACAACAGAUGGCGGAAUUGGAAUUUGGUCAGAAAUCUGGAGUUCAGAAUCUAACGGUGAAACUAUUGUCGGUGGGGUGGAGGUGGAAAAAAACCCCCUUCUGAUUCACUCAGUUCUUUUUUAGGGAAGACUUGAGCAGUUAUUAGAGCAGUCGUCCCAGCUGCAUCCUUUACCCGCUCUGGCCUACACAUGACUCCAGACCCACAAUAGUCUGGUUGACUCUAUGCUGCUCAUCCAACUUACUUGGAUACAGGUUGAAAUUGCUGAGUGAGGCAAUACUUCCUCCAGAUUAUGGCUACACCAAGGAUCCAAUUACAAAGGGAUAACUCAGUGGUGACCAAUAAUGAAGAAAGUGAGGAGUUGCACUUUGACCUUGAGCUGUUUUUAAAAAAUUGCUACUUUUUCUACACCUUUCUGCUGGGAGAUUCUGAAGCUGUAACAAAGUUGGGUCACAAUAAAGAUUACCUGAUCUUCACACUGAGCUCAUACUCUCAAUGAGAGCUUUAAACUGCAACAGGUUUUUGGUUUAAAACUGCUGAUUUCUUACAGGAGAAAGUUAGAACUGCAGAUGCUGGAGAUCAGGGUCAAGAUUAGAGUGGUGCUGGCAAAGUACUGCAGGUCAGGCAGUGUCCGAGGAGCAGGAAAAUCGACAUUUCGGGUUUGCUCCAGACUCCACCCUCCUUACUGUGUCAACCAUCUGUGAGUAAGGCUUUCACAGGAGGAUUUACCUGCAUAUCUUGAACUAAUUGCCUCAGCCAGCUUGACUCAUUGGGACUGGAAUUUUAUCGAUCUUUUGAGUGGAGAAGGAGGAUUGUCCCGCCUGCUUCCAGAGAUCUGACUGGUAAAGCACUGAGAUGCCGCUGUUCGAGGGUGGAGGGAGCUUUACCGGAGCGGAGAGUUAGCCAGCCGGCCACCCGCAGCAGAGUGGGACGUCAGAGGGAGCGUCGAACCUGGAGGGAGCCCGCGCCAUGGGGAAACCGUGGGGAAUGCGGGAAGGGGUUUCGAGUCCCCUCUGAGCUGGAGAUCCACUGGCGCGGUCACACCGGGGAGAGGCCGUUCUCCUGCCCCGAGUCCGGCAAGGCCUUCGUUGGGUCCUCCAAGCUGCUGAGGCACCGGCGGGUCCACACCGGGGACAGGCCGUACCCCUGCCCCGAGUGUGGCAAGGCCUUCACCCAGCUGUCCCACCUGCAGACGCACCGGCGCCUCCACACACCAGGGAGAGGCCUCUCACCUGCCCCGGGGGCGGCAAGGCCUUCAAUCGAUCGCCGACCCUGCGGACGCACAGGCGCCUUCCCAACGUGAUCGCACGGAGUUGAAGUCUGCAGCGAAUCCCCCCCAGGACUGGGGGGGAUCGUGCCCCGUGGGGGUAUUGUGCCCCGUUCGAAGACAGUGGGUGAAGCGGGAAGGGAGCGAGGCUUCCUUUCUGCCGGACUGGCCGCUCUCACUCCCUUUGCUUCCCGUGGGACCGAUGCUGUUUGAGGCUGGGACUGCACGUUCCCCGGGCCAAAGAUCUGCAGGAGCUGAGGAAGUGCACUCCUUUCACACCGGAUGGUAAAUCAUGUUUGUCCCAUCUAUUUCGGUCUUAAAUACCCUCCGUGACCUGGCCUCCCAGCCUCCUGUGGCAGUGAAUUCCACAGAUUCCCCACUCUCUGUCUGAAGAGGUUUCUGCUUAUCUCCGUUCUAAAAGGUCUAAGGCUGUGCCCUCGGCUCCUGGUCUCUCCUACCAAUGGAAACGUCUUCCCAAUGGCCACAGAUAGAUCAGAGUCAAAUACAAUAGCCUCUAUUCCAUUGAGUGUCCAGCACACUUUAUAACACUUUGUAAAAUCAGGAGGGCCAUUGAUGAGGUGAGUGGCAGGUGUCUUUUCCCGAUAGAAUAAAGAAUAUUCCAGCACAGGAACAGGCCCUUCGGCCCUCCAAGCCUACACCGAUCCAGAUCCUCUAUCUAAACCUGCUGCCUAUUUUCUCAGGAUCUGUAUCCCUCUGCUCCCUGCCCUUUCAUGUAUCUGUUGAGAUACAUCUUAAAUGACGCCAUUGUUCCCGUCCCUACCAUCUCCGCUGGCAACACAUUCCAGGUAUCCAGCACCCUCUGCGUAAAGAACUUUCCAUAGAUAUCUUAAAUCUUUCCCCUCUCACUUUGAACUCAUGACCCCAGGUAACUGAGUCCUCCACUCUGGGGAAAAACAUUUCUUGCUAUCCACCCUGUCUAUACUUCUCAUGAUUUUGUUGGCCUCAAUCUGGUCCCCCCUUAACCCCCGUCUUUCCAAUGAAAAUAAUCCUGAUCUAUUCAACCUCUCUUCAUAGUUAGCAUCCUCCAUACCAGGUAACAUCCUGGUGAACCUCCUCUGCACCCUCUCCAAAGCAUCCACAUCCAUUUGGUAAUGUGGCGACCAGAACUGUACGUGGUAUUCCAAAUCUGGCCGAAACAAAGUCUUGUAUAACUGUAACAUGACCUGCCAACUCUUGUACACAAUACUCUGUCCGAUGAAGGAAAGUGUGCCAUAUGCCGCCUUGACCACUCUACUGACCUGCAUUGCCAUCUUCAGGGAACAAUGGGCCUGAACACACAGAUCUCUCUCUACAUCAGUUUUCCCCAGGACUUUUCCCAUAUUACCUCACUGCUCGAGUCCUUCAUAGUGCCCUCCUUCAGCACAGCUGUGAUAGCCUCUCUGACCAGUAAUACAACUCCUUCACCUCCCUCUCUAUCCCACCUGAAGCAUCGAUAUCCUGGGAUAUUUAGUUGCCAAUCUGGCACUAUGAGGCAUCGGUGCUACCUACUGAGCCAUCAUGCCACCCUCUUGCAGUUUGCUAACCUAGUUAUCUGCCCCCCCCUCUCUUCCUAUAAUAGUAGUUUGGUUUGUCCUAUAAUAGUAGUGUUAUCCCAGUCGAAUUCAUGUUGCUUGUCAUCUGCGUGUAUGGCCACCAAGGAUAGCUGGUCGUGUCGUUUCGUGGCUAGUUGGUAUUCAUGGAUGUGGAUCGUUAGCUGUCUUCCUGUUUGUCCUAUGUAGUGUUUUGUGCAGGCCUUGCAUGGGAUUUUGUACACAAUAAGGACUGCACAAAACACUACAUAGGACAAACAGGAAGACAGCUAAUGAUCCGCAUCCAUAACACUACUAUUACAGGACAAGCCAAACAGAGAACAGCCAGGGAAUUCCUGGAGGCAUGGCACUCACCCACAGAUUCAAUCAAUAAACACAUCGACCUGGACCCAAUAUACCGGCCACUGCAGCGGACAGCUGGAACUGACAAUCGGAAGCGGCAGAGACAAACCACUAUAAAUGCCGGAGGAAACAACACAGAAGUGCUUCACAGGAGACUCCCAAGCACUGAGGAUGUCACCCAAACAGGGGACGAAACGUCUGCAACACAAAUUCCCAGCUCGGCAAACAGAACCACAACAACGAGCAGCCGAGCUACAAAUCUUCUCCCAAACUUGGAAUACAUAACAUGGCUACAACACUAUGAUAUAACUAGAAAUAAUUAUAAAUCAAAUUUAUACAGCCGUAAAUAAAUACAUAUUGCACAGUAA